rnacentral:rRNA from 1 species
AUACGUAGGGAGCGAGCGUUGUCCGGAAUUACUGGGCGUAAAGGGCGCGUAGGCGGCGCUUCAAGUCGUCUGUCAAAUGGGAGGGCUUAACCCUUUUUCGCAGACGAAACUGGAGAGCUUGAGAAGCAGAGAGGCAAACAGAAUUCCUGGUGUAGCGGUGAAAUGCGUAGAUAUCAGGAAGAAUACCAGUGGCGAAGGCGGUUUGCUGGCUGCAUACUGACGCUGAAGCGCGAAAGCCAGGGGAGCAAACGGGAUUAGAUACCCCGGUAGUCCUGGCAGUAAACGAUGUAUGCUGGGUGUGAGACUAGCGAUAGUUUCGUGCCGAAGUUAACGCGAUAAGCAUACCGCCUGGGGAGUACGGUCGCAAGAUUGAAACUCAAAUGAAUUGACGGGG